AAAAAAGAAAGUAAGCAAGGGCAGACGGUGGAUGCCUUGGCUCUCGGAGGCGAUGAAGGACGUGAUAAGCUGCGAUAAGCCGGGGGGAGAUGCAAAUAAUCCUUGAUCCUCGGAUUUCCGAAUGGGGCAACCCGGCAGGUUGAAGGCCUGUCACCUCGUAAGAGGGGCGAACGUGGGGAACUGAAACAUCUAAGUACCCAUAGGAGGAGAAAAUAAAAAUGAUUCCGCAAGUAGUGGCGAGCGAACGCGGAAGAGCCCAAACCGGUAUUGUUUAGGCAAUACCGGGGUUGUAGGACCACGUCGUGG
rnacentral:rRNA from 1 species